GAUGAUCGUGGACGGGGAGACUAU
rnacentral:piRNA from 1 species